GUGCUUGCUUUGGCAGCACAGAUACUACCAUUGGAACAAUACAGAGAUUAGCAUGGCUUCUGUGCAAAGAUGACAUGCAAAUUCGUGAAGCAUUUCAUUAAUAA
ensembl:snRNA U6 U6 spliceosomal RNA